rnacentral:rRNA from 1 species
CGGCGCGUCUUAAGCAUGCAAGUCGAGCGGCAAGGGGGAGCAAUCCCCCCUAGAGCGGCGGACUGGUGAGUAACGCGUGGGUGACCUACCUAGAGGUUGGGGAUAGCCAUUAGAAAUAGUGGGUAAUACCGGAUAUGGUUGCGGGGUUAUGACUCUGCAAAGAAAGGGGCUUCGGCCCCGCCUCAAGAUGGGCCCGCGUCCCAUUAGCUAGUUGGUGAGGUAAGAGCCCACCAAGGCGAUGAUGGGUAGCCGGCCUGAGAGGGUGAACGGCCACACUGGGACUGAGAUACGGCCCAGACUCCUACGGGAGGCAGCAGCUAAGAAUAUUCCGCAAUGGACGAAAGUCUGACGGAGCGACGCCGCGUGGAUGACGAAGGCCGAAAGGUUGUAAAAUCCUUUUGUCACUGAAGAAUAAGCGGGGGAGGGAAUGCCCUCGUGAUGACGUUAGGUGACGAAUAAGCCCCGGCUAAUUACGUGCCAGCAGCCGCGGUAACACGUAAGGGGCAAGCGUUGUUCGGAAUUAUUGGGCGUAAAGGGCGCGUAGGCGGUUAUGUAAGCCUGGCGUGAAAUCCAUCGGCUUAACCGGUGGACUGCGUUGGGAACUGUAUAACUAGAGUCAUGGAGGGGUAGUUGGAAUUCCGCGUGUAGGGGUGAAAUCUGUAGAUAUGCGGAAGAACACCGGUGGCGAAGGCGAACUACUAGCCAAUGACUGACGCUGAGGCGCGAAAGUGCGGGGAGCAAACAGGAUUAGAUACCCUGGUAGUCCGCACUAUAAACGAUGUGCACUAGGUGUUGGGCCAAGCGGCUCAGUGCCGAAGCGAACGUGAUAAGUGCACCGCCUGGGGAGUAUGCCCGCAAGGGUGAAACUCAAAGGAAUUGACGGGGGCCCGCAC